rnacentral:rRNA from 1 species
AAAUUGAAGAGUUUGAUCAUGGCUCAGAUUGAACGCUGGCGGCAGGCCUAACACAUGCAAGUCGAACGGUAACAGGAAAAAGCUUGCUUUUUUGCUGACGAGUGGCGGACGGGUGAGUAAUGUCUGGGAAACUGCCUGAUGGAGGGGGAUAACUACUGGAAACGGUAGCUAAUACCGCAUAACGUCGCAAGACCAAAGAGGGGGACCUUCGGGCCUCUUGCCAUCGGAUGUGCCCAGAUGGGAUUAGCUAGUAGGUGGGGUAACGGCUCACCUAGGCGACGAUCCCUAGCUGGUCUGAGAGGAUGACCAGCCACACUGGAACUGAGACACGGUCCAGACUCCUACGGGAGGCAGCAGUGGGGAAUAUUGCACAAUGGGCGCAAGCCUGAUGCAGCCAUGC